CACAGGACCUCACACAGCAGUACAGGGAGGCACUCGGCAAGGUAACACACAGGACCUCACACAGCAGUACAGGGAGGCACUCGGCAAGGUAACACACAGGACCUCACACAGCAGUACAGGGAGGUAACACACAGGACCUCACACAGCAGUACAGGGAGGCACUCGGCAAGGUAACACACAGGACCUCACACAGCAGUACAGGGAGGUAACACACAGCAGUACAGGGAGGCACUCGGCAAGGUAACACACAGGACCUCACACAGCAGUACAGGGAGGUAACACACAGCAGUACAGGGAGGCACUCGGCAAGGUAACACACAGGACCUCACACAGCAGUACAGGGAGGUAACACACAGGACCUCACACAGCAGUACAGGGAGGCACUCGGCAAGGUAACACACAGGACCUCACACAGCAGUACAGGGAGGUAACACACAGCAGUACAGGGAGGUAACACACAGGACUUCACACAGCAGUACAGGGAGGCACUCGGCAAGGUAACACACAGGACCUCACACAGCAGUACAGGGAGGUAACACACAGCAGUACAGUGAGGUAACACA